GGGCCCGUAGUACAGUGGUAACACACCGCAUUCGCAUUGCGGAGACGCGAGUUCGAUUCUCGCCGGGUCCA
rnacentral:tRNA from 1 species